AUUGAACGCUGGCGGCAUGCCUUACACAUGCAAGUCGAACGGCAGCACGGGUGCUUGCGCCUGGUGGCGAGUGGCGCACGGGUGAGUAAUACAUCGGAACAUGUCCUGUAGUGGGGGUUAGCCCGGCGAAAGCCGGAUUAAUACCGCAUACGAUCUACGGAUGAGAGCGGGGGACCUUCGGGCCUCGCGCUAUAGGGUUGGCCGAUGGCUGAUUCGCUAGUUGGUGGGGUAAAGGCCUACCAAGGCGACGAUCAGUAGCUGGUCUGAGAGGACGACGAGCCACACUGGGACUGGGACACGGCCCAGACUCCUACGGGAGGCAGCAGUGGGGAAUUUUGGACAAUGGGCGAAAGCCUGAUCCAGCAAUGCCGCGUGUGUGAAGAAGGCCUUCGGGUUGUAAAGCACUUUUGUCCGGAAAGAAAUCCUUGGCCCUAAUACGGUCGGGGGAUGACGGUACCGGAAGAAUAAGCACCGGCUAACUACGUG
rnacentral:rRNA from 1 species